ACAAAUACUUCCAGUCAUUCCAAAAGGUACUAGACAAGAUAUUGUUAAUGUAACCCUUAAUUCUUCAUAUUUGUGGAAUCACUGUCAAGUCUUAAAGCUAACAAAAAAUAUAAGGUUGGAAAGAAAUCAGGUGGAUUCACAUUUGAAUGAUCUUAGACAAUUUUCUGAUUGGAUUUUAGCAAUAGGUGAUGGUAUGAUUGGAAAUUCUGUUGAUGGUAUCGAUAAAGUUCACAUCCCUGAUGAUCUUAUCAUCAAUAAUUGUGACGAUCCAAUUUGUCGAUUGUGGAAAGUACAUAUCCGGAUUUUUUAAGUCAUUGCAGUGAUAUAACAUACCUGCAACAAAGAGGAAUUCAUGCUCCCACUCUUGAUAUGGUUGAAUCAAUCAACGAAUACAUGGUUUCGGUAAACAAUAGUCAACCAAAAAUAUUUUUUAGUUUCGAUACAAUUCGCAUGUCAGACGAUGCUUUUACAGGUUUGGAACACGUACAUACACCUGAAUUUCUAAACACUAUUAAGUGUUCUGGAAUUCCAAAUCAUGUUAUCACUUUGAAAGUGGGUGUCCCAGUGAUGUUAUUGAGAAAUAUAGACCCAUCUUCAGGGCUAUGUAAUGGAACAAGAUUAAUCAUCACUAGACUGGGAAAUCGGGUUAUUGAAGCAAAUAUUUUAUCGGGAAAUAUGGUUGGACAAAAGGUUUUCAUUCCGAGAAUGUCAUUAACUCCAUCUGAUGCAAGAAUACCUUUUAAGUUCCAAUGAAGACAAUUUCCAAUAGUUGUAUCGUUUGCAAUGACGAUAAACAAAAGUCAAGGACAAUCUUUAUCGCAUGUUGGGUUAUAUUUGAAAAAACCGGUGUUCACACAUGGCCAGCUUUACGUUGCUCUAUCACGGGUUACAAAAAGAAAGGGAUUAAAGAUUUUGGUUUAUGAUGAUGAUGGAGAAAUUUCAAAUGAAGCGAUAAAUGUGGUUUACAAAGAGGUUUUCCGUAAUUUACUUGGAGAAUGAAAGGAAAUCUGAUACCUUUUAGCCAACUUUUUGUUCUCAUGCAUCGGUCUUUUGGAAAACCAUAUUGUAAAUAAUCUUCAGAAACAAUACUUGCCAACUUCAAUAGUUGCUGCUGUGAAAGUUAUUAAUACUCGAUCAUGUGCCGGAAACAAACUUCCAAAGCAGGCAUGUCAUUUAGCUUCCUCGACUAUGCAUCUCGGUUCAAUUUAAACAAGAGCAAUUGUAAUUGUAAAAGCUAACAAUCAUCUUGGACAGCAUGGGAUCAUUCGAAAACACAUCCAUUUAUGCACCUGUUUUUGUUAACUUACCAUCCUCAUCAAGGGAAACAAGCGCAAACAACAGAUGCAGGCCUUUAAGUAGACUUUCAGUUGCUGUACUCUACAUGAAGUAAAAGUGCAUCAAGUAUUUAAUCCCUUGACUAUGUGCAGUGUAUAACAGGAAGCACUUUCCAUUCGCUGUUUGUCCUGAUCGAGCAGAACUUUGGUUUUCAGACGUCGUGGAUAUGGGAGCGACCAUCAAUGACUCGGUUCCUUUCCGAGGGCGAUCGUAUACAUGCUUCUAUUGGCAAGUCUGUUUUGCAUAUUUUCAACAAAAUAAUUAAUGAGCUUGGAUUAUUUCUUAUGGCGAACUUUAUCGUCUGCCAAAACAAGGAGAGGUUCAACACC